rnacentral:rRNA from 1 species
UACGUAGGGUGCGAGCGUUAAUCGGAAUUACUGGGCGUAAAGCGUGCGCAGGCGGUUCGUUGUGUCGGCGGUGAAAGCCCCGGGCUCAACCUGGGAACUGCAUUUGAAACUGGCGGGCUUGAGUGUGGCAGAGGGGGUGGAAUUCCGCGUGUAGCAGUGAAAUGCGUAGAGAUGCGGAGGAACACCGAUGGCGAAGGCAGCCCCCUGGGCCAACACUGACGCUCAGGCACGAAAGCGUGGGGAGUAAACAGG